AUGCCAGGAUUACCCCAAUUCACUAAUGACUCCAACUCUAUCUCUGCCAAUGGAUUCUGGUCUAAGAAUCGGGAUGAUGUUGGAUACAAUCAGCUCCACAAGUUUUGGAGUGAGCUGUCACCACAAGCGCGGCAGGAACUCUUGAGAAUAGACAAGCAAACCCUUUUUGAGCAAGCUCGGAAAAACAUGUACUGCUCCUCGAUGCAAUGGUUUGCUUCUUGA